GCAACGGGUUUGAAGACAAUUUGGACGUGGAACACUGUCCGAUCAUGGCAAGAGUCGUUGUCACAAUUGCAGGCGUUGGUGCAGCGUCUGUUGGAGUCUAUUCAGCAAUCGUAUGCCUCAAAUUACAUAUACUAUACUUUCAACAGCUUUGAAAUUGAUCCUGAAGACUAAGUUUAUCCUAACAUUACAUUGCAUGCAUUGAAUUGUCCCGUGGCAAGUGACCCUAGACGAUGGCAAGUACUAAGGUGCAAAACGGGAAAAACAAAUGACGUGUGCUUGCUUCCAGGCCUAUUCAUCUGUCUACUCAGUCGAUCAGGAGCUGAAGGGAUACCUCCAAACAGCAAAGGAAAAACAGAAGUCAAAGGAAUCCCUGGAAGGCAUUCUUGGAGACACCGAGCGCAGAAUCGAUGGGCUACUGCAGAGAACGCAAGAAAG
rnacentral:lncRNA from 1 species